UGUGGCCCUAAACAGCAAGAAAAAAAAAAAAAGGAAAAAGUUAACUUUUAAACUGUCGAGUGUGUCUGGGUUUGGAUAUCACAAACUCUGUAGAUCUUUUGGUCUUGAGAGCCGAGCACAUCCGCCAUCCAGCCAGCCAGCUGUCCCUGCAUAGCAGCCCUUCAAGUGGGCGCUGGUUCUGCAGUUACAAAGCACCUACUGGGUGCUAUGCAGUGAGUGAGACGGCCACAACCCUGGAAUCCCCUUGGUCUCCCUGCUCCCUCCCUUCCAGGUGAGCUCUCUCCCUCACAGUGCAGUUUCCUAGUGAAUGCUGACCGAUUAACCAGGUAUACCAGGGCUACCAGUGCACAAAUAAUAGUAACUGGUUACAGUGACGAUUUGCCAGCUUGUUGGGGGAGGUGGGCAGGGUCUGCUCCCCCUAGCCUGUUGCAUGCUCCCGUUCCUCUUACUCCUUGUCCCGGAUGCCCCCAGCUCUCCCCACCCCUUACGCCUCAGCUCUGCUGGGUGCCCUGCAACAUCGCCUUUGAAAUGUGUCUCCUAAGGCUGCUGACUGUUGUGCAUCAGAAACUCCAAAGCCAGGCCCAAAGGAGGAUAUACCAAAGCCCCUGACGGGCAUCUUGACCUCACUCAAAGUCUCUGAAUCAGCACCAGCAGCUAGCAUUUCGUGAAAGGCCCCAGCACCCAGGCUUUUAUGCCACCACAGCCCCACUAAGGACAGCAUCCUAGCUUUAGGCAACAGAAAUCACGCUGGGAGAGGCUACGGACCUGCCGAAGGCCACACUCCGGGGAAGGCAGCAGCCGGAAUCCCCGCCCUGUUCCUUCAGACCCUUCACAGCGAAGAGGGCUUCCCCCCAGCCACCAUCUUUGCCUCAGAAGUCACUGCCCUUGCCAUUGCCCGCCUGAUGGUCUUUCCCCACAGUCUCCACCUGGGUCUCCUUCCCCAUCUCGUGCUCUGUUCGACGUCACCGCAGAGCUGCCUUCCUGCCCAGUUCUGAGCUAACACUGGCCACCCACGCUUCCCAGCUACUCCAGACAUCCUGCUGUUGUGUUUUCCUUCACAGCCCUGCCCGCCAUCUCCAAGUACCUGGUUCAUUAACUGACUCACUCCCCCACCUUGUCGAGAAGAGCACUGCGCAGUGGAACGUUCUUUGGUGAAGGAAGUGGCCUCUAUCUGCACUGUCCAGCACUGCAGCCGUGAGCGGCAGGUGACCCGUGUGACUAAGCAACUGGUGCUCAAGCAGUGUUUUGACAAGUGCAGCCUGAGAGCCUUGGUGAGCGCUUCACCAAGGGACAUGUGGGCCUUCAGGUCUGAUAUAGUCAUAUUCCAAAUUGCAGGGCCUCUCACUGGCACUGCAACUGUGUCCUAUCUGUAUGUCAUCAUGGGAGGACAGCUGCCGCCGCCGCCGCCAAGUUCCUGUCUUUCACUUGGGAGCCCAAGCGGGCCUGGGGUGAGAGAACGCUUGGUUUUCACUGGACUUGCUUCCUCUCAGACCAGCCAGGCCAGGGACUUGCAUUCAUGCUCCCACAGCAUUUCUAUGGAGUCUGCUGGCUGGGAUGAGAGUAGAACUUAGGAAGGGACUUCAUAUACUUCAGGCGUCAAUGAGCCCUAAAAAGUCAGUGCUUGUACAUAAGUCUUCCAUGGCCUUUUUUUUUUUUU